rnacentral:lncRNA from 1 species
AUGAUAAUAUCCCUUAUGAUUGAGGACAUCUUGCAAUUUGCUUGGAAUCCCCUUGGGAACGUGAUUAGAUUUCUCUCAUGGCCAUUGGGUCUUUUCCUUGUACUACCCUCCAUUAUGUGUCCUAGACACUUCUCACCUAUUGGAACUCUCUUUGGGAAGAAGGCUGAGGAUAAAGCAUGGAACAGAACAGUGGGUCUGUAAAGGGACUGGAUGUGAACUGUGAUAGCUCACUGCAACAUAAUUUUCAUCUCAGAAAAAGAAGGAAAGACAAAAUGUGUUUCUCAAACUAUUCUCUUUAAAGCAGAAGCCAUAAAUUAUAAAAGGAAACAUUGCAAU